UGCGGUCUUCCGGAUGAUCCGAAACUAAAGCAACAGAAAGUAGCUGUUGAUGAACCCUGAAGCGUCCCUCGACGACAGCGAGCCAAACUAUCUUUAAUCUCAAGGCCAUGAGGCUGAAUCAGCCCCCUGUGAGAUUCAGUCUGUGAGACACGAUUCAAUGUUGAAGCCUUACAAUUACUACUCCUUCAUGCCUCUGUUAUAUAAGUAUUUAACAUCCAUGUUCUAUGCUUUUAAAAGCCAAUAACGUGUGGGAGGGUUAGACAGUCCCUCUACCAGCUCAACGUUGGGAUAGCUUUAUGUUGUACGGAGAACUCCCCUGGUACUGCCCAGUAUCUCUUACCCAGGAAGGCUUUAGGACGUUCCUCCUGGCUAUUCUUGGACAGCCCCAUUGGGAGUAGAACCAUGGUGGGGAGGAGAGAGUGGACGACCAGCCCAGGAAGCUGUGGCGAUACACACACACACACACACACACACACACACACACACACACACACACACACACACACAUACACAUACACAUACACAUACACAUGCACACACACACACACACAAA